rnacentral:rRNA from 1 species
AAUCAACGCUGGCGGCGUGCCUCAGACAUGCAAGUCGAACGAUUAAAGCUCCCUUCGGGGAGUGCAUAGAGUGGCGCACGGGUGAGUAACACGUAAGUAAUCUACCCUCGGGUGGGGAAUAACGUUCGGAAACGGACGCUAAUACCGCAUAAUGCAGCGGCACCGCAAGGUGACAGUUGUUAAAGAUUUAUUGCCUGGGGAGGAGCUUGCGGCAGAUUAGCUUGUUGGUAAGGUAACGGCUUACCAAGGCUACGAUCUGUAUCCGGUCUAAGAGGACGGUCGGACACACUGACACUGAAUAACGGGUCAGACUCCUACGGGAGGCAGCAGUCGGGAAUUUUGGGCAAUGGGGGAAACCCUGACCCAGCAACGCCGCGUGAAGGAUGAAGUAUUUCGGUAUGUAAACUUCGAAGGAAUAGGAAGAAUUAAUGACGGUACUAUUUAUAAGGUCCGCUAACUACGUGCCAGCAGCCGCCGUAAG